rnacentral:ncRNA from 2 species
GGGGAAGUCCGGUGAGAGUCCGGCGCUGACCCGCAACGGUAGGCGGACGCCCCGCGCAGGGGCCCGUUCCGCGAGCCCGAUCACCC